rnacentral:misc_RNA from 1 species
UAAUAAUAAAUUAAUGGUAAGAACUAUUUUAUUAAUGGAAUUAAAAAAUAGAGAUAAACUACUCCAGAACCAACCGGCUACUCCAAAGAACAAACUCCAAAUUGUAUCGAAACAUGAACCAUUUCUCUUUUAACAACUCCUAGCAAGAAGCCCAACUGCCUAAGCUUGAAAUGCUGGGAUUCCAUCAAAUCACAAAAUUGAUUUCAUUCCCCAUUGAAGCUUCGAAACACAUGCAAUGCUAUGACCAUAAGUGACCUAAUUAAAUUCAAUCCUCCUUUUUCAAUAACCUCCUUCAGGAUCCAAGGGACCUUACAGAGUUUAUAUAUGUAUAUAAAAUUUUA